rnacentral:rRNA from 1 species
AUACGGAGGGUCCGAGCGUUAUCCGGAAUCAUUGGGUUUAAAGGGUCCGUAGGCGGGAAUCUAAGUCAGUGGUGAAAUCUUGCAGCUCAACUGUAAAAUUGCCAUUGAUACUGGAUUUCUUGAAUUAGUGUGAAGUGGUUAGAAUGUGUAGUGUAGCGGUGAAAUGCAUAGAUAUUACACAGAAUACCAAUUGCGAAGGAAGAUCACUAACACUAUAUUGACGCUGAGGGACGAAAGCGUGGGGAGCGAACAGAAUUAGAAACCCCAGUAGUCC